rnacentral:rRNA from 1 species
UACGUAGGGUGCAAGCGUUGUCCGGAAUUAUUGGGCGUAAAGAGCUCGUAGGCGGUUCGUCACGUCGGCUGUGAAAACCUGAGGCCCAACCUCAGGCCUGCAGUCGAUACGGGCGGACUCGAGUUCGGCAGGGGAGACUGGAAUUCCUGGUGUAGCGGUGAAAUGCGCAGAUAUCAGGAGGAACACCGGUGGCGAAGGCGGGUCUCUGGGCCGAUACUGACGCUGAGGAGCGAAAGCGUGGGGAGCGAACAGG